AGAGUUUGAUCCCAGCUCAGGAUGAACGCUAGCGGUGCGCCUAACACAUGUAUGUCGUGCGAUCGAGCCGAACUGAGUCUCCUUCGGGAGGCGAUGAUUGGUGACGGAGCGGCGGACGGGUGAGUAACGCGUGGCUAACCUACCCUCUUGACGGGGACAACCGCUCGAAAGGGUGGCUAAUACCCGAUAUUGAUUGGAACCGAUGGGUUCCUCUCCAAAGGCGGUCCUGCCGCCGCGAGGGGAUGGGGCUGCGUCCUAUUAGCUAGUUGGUGAGGUAACGGCUCACCAAGGCUUCGAUGGGUAGCUGGUCUGAGAGGACGGCCAGCCACAUGGGACUGAGAUACGGCCCAGACUCCUACGGGAGGCAGCAGUGGGGAAUCUUGGCCAAUGGACGAAAGUCUGAGCCAGCGACACCGCGUGGGGGAUGACGGCCUUCGGGUUGUAAACCCCUUUUCUGGGGAAAGAAUAAGGACGGGAGGAAAUGCCCGCCCGAUGACGGUACUCCAGGAAUAAGCAUCGGCUAACUCUGUGCCAGCAGCCGCGGUAAGACAGAGGAUGCGAGCGUUAUCCGGAAUUACUGGGCGUAAAGGGCGUCUAGGCGGUUCGGUAAGUCGUUUGUGAAAUCCCUUGGCUCAACCGAGGAGAGUCUUGCGAUACUGCCGGGCUUGGGUGUAGGAGAGGAGGGUGGAACUCACAGAGUAGCGGUGGAAUGCGUAGAUACUGUGAGGUACCCCGAUGGCGAAGGCAACCCUCUGGCCUACUACCGACGCUGAAGCGCGAAAGCGUGGGGAGCAAAGGGGAUUAGAUACCCCCGUAGUCCACGCCCUAAACAAUGUUCACUUGGUGUCGGCCGCUUAUACUGGUCGGUGCCGAAGCUAACGCGUUAAGUGAACCGCCUGAGGAGUACGGCCGCAAGGCUAAAACUCAAGAGAAUUGACGGGUCCCUGCACAAGCGGUGGAGCACGUGGUUUAAUUCGAUGAUAAACGAAGAACCUCACCCAGGCUUGACAUACUAGUGGUAGAAACCUGAAAGGGGGCCGACCCUGCCUUCGGGUAGGGAGCUAGUACAGGUGAUGCAUGGCUGUCGUCAGUUCGUGUCGUGGGAUGUUGGGUUCAGUCCCGAAACGAGCGCAACCCUUGUCGUUAGUUGCCAGCGGGUAAUGCCGGGGACUCUAACGAGACUGCUGGUGAAUAGCCGGAGGAAGGCGGGGAUGACGUCAAGUCAUCAUGUCCCUUAUGCCUGGGGCGACACACAUGCUACAAUGGGGGGUACAAAGGGUCGCAAUCCCGUAAGGGGGAGCCAAUCCAUAAAAACCCCUCUCAGUUCGGAUUGAGGUCUGCAACUCGACCUCAUGAAGCCGGAAUCGCUAGUAAUCGCGGGUCAGCCAUACCGCGGUGAAUAUGUACUCAGGGAUUGUACACACCGCCCGUCACACCAACCGAGUGGGGGGUACCUGAAGUCGCUCUUCUAAGGGCGCCUAGGGUAACUUCCGCAA
rnacentral:rRNA from 1 species